rnacentral:lncRNA from 1 species
CUCAACCAAGCUACUCCAACAUUCCACAGUCCACACCCAUCUCGAUCUGCACCAUACUACUACGAGCUGCAAAGCCUGCAACCGUUCUGUCCUUCUCUUGGCCGCCAUCAUCAACAAUUAGCACCUCCUCUCUCCAUGGAUCCGAUCUUGGCCUCCGUUCCUCGCUCCGCCGUGUGCUCGGCGUCGUCGGUGUACCGGCGGCGGCGGCGGCAGAAGCCCGUGGGCGGCCUCGCUGGGCGGUGCAACGCCGUGCUGAAGCAGCACAAGACGAGGCUGUACAUCCUCGGCAGGUGC